GCCGUUCUCCGUAGUUUAGUCGGUAGAACAUCCGACUAUGGUGCGGUAGGACUCGGGUUCAAACCCCGGUGAAGGCA